AAAUUUGCGAACUCAGAAAGAGGUUGACUCUCGUUGAAGUUGGUACUGUUUUAUAAAUUGUUGCAAUUUGGAAGAAAAAGUGAUAAAUGUGAGAGCAAAUAAAGACUGUUUAGUGAUUCAACUCGGAACAAAGUUCGAUCAAAAUUGUUGUGUUGGUGUUUAGAAAGCAGCCUUGGCAAUUAAUUAUAUACAGUACCAAAAUGAGAAGAGUGAAUCAGCUUUCCGAUCCUCCGGGCUCGCAAGCAAGGCAGUGGUCCAACAUAAAAAUUGUUUUUGGUAAAAAGAGAUGAUGAUGAAGAGGUGUGUCGAAUGAAAAUACGAUGUUCAUGAGAUUGAUUGCAAGAGAGAUCGGCUUAAGAUUAUCAACACAAUAUCAACACCAUACAUUUCAUGCCCAAGCACUCGAGAGAAAAAAAUUACCUUAGAAUUUCGAUGACUUCCCGUUGCGUUCCCUCCAUACACCUUGCGAUAAACGAGAGUUUUCUUUUGAACCAAAAAAAAAUGCAGGAAAUAUGACGAUGUGGCUGUGAGUGGUGAUUUGUCCCUGUCAUUACGUUACGCACGCACGCCAGCGGAAUAUUCUCCAAUGCAUUUUCGACGAUUUUGCAUAGAUACACGCCCGAUCCGAUUAUGACACAUCCAUCCAGGUCACUUGUAUUUUUAUUAUUUUUUUUUACAAAAACAAAAAAAAAUGUUUAGGGAAAACGGCUUUCGAUAAGUCACGCUGCGGAAGGGAAUUAAUUUCAUUUUCAGAAGAAGAUGUGAUUUAAGAAACGAACAAACCAUACGAUCGGAAGAGUUGUUACACAGAGAACGGGGUUACACACAUAUAACGAAUCUGCGCGAUGUAACUGGACGGAACGAUUUUUCAUAGUUAAAUUGUGGAUGGUUUGGCAACAAAACAUCUAACGAGCUGUCCAGACAUGAAAUGUUUUUAUUCGGUUUGUGCAGCCAGGGAGCGCAUCCAGUUACACGUAAAGGUACUCUGUUUAUGUGUAGACGAUUUACUAGACGAAAUUUUCCAUGUUAUUUCCGAAUCGACGUAUAAGUUAUCCAGUCGUUGUUUGCGAGUUGUAUGCAUUGCCUCUAAUUUGAUUAGUAUCGAAGAGAGAGUGAGAGAGACCAAACUAUCAUCAUCUUACGAAACGACAACUUAAAAGCCAUCCCAACAACGAUAUAAUCAUCUCACCAUCAACGAUUAAUAAUUUUAUUUUUUGAUUUGCUUAAUAAUUGCGGAAUGACAAAACGAGAAACAAAGGUACGAACAUUCCUUAAUCUUAAUCUCUAAACAGAAAUCUUUCCAAUAAGCUUCACUAUCAUAUCGAGAGAGAGAGACAAUUGUUAGUUGGAUUAGAGAGUCAACGUGAUAUUAAUUAAUGUUAUAGUUUAUAUGAUCGUGACGUGAUGUGAUGUGUGAGGUAUUUUUAUAAUGAAAAAUGUUUUCUAUUUUUGACUUUAACCAUUAGAGCUGGCCCAAACACUUUGGGGCUCUAUUCACUUUUAAAUUUACGUAUCUUUGAUAGAUAAAGAGAUAAAAAUUGAUAUUUAUUGAUGAAAGUCGCUGAAGAUCCCAGUACCAUAACACACAAUGCGGAAUAGGAGAAGAUCAACACACAACGGCUGUGUCAUAAAUUUCAAUAAGUGAUCACCGGGGUUUAAUUGAACUUUUAUCAUAUGCCCAACCUAUCGGGCUCUUAAAAGCCAUAACUUCUGUUUAUAUUUUCAGUGUUCUAAAAUAUGUUGUAUGUAAACUGUAUCGUGAAUAUUGUUCAAAAGCGCCUAAAAUAGCAGAUGAGAGAAGCGUGUCGCAGGAACUCCUCCAAACCUAAGUUCUUUUUUUUCGUUCACAGUUCUAAUAGACAUUUUUAGCGGAAAUUAAUUUCCUUUUGUGAUAAAAAAAAACCUUCGUUAAAUCCAGGCGGAUAUAACCUUAAAAGUUUCAGUUUUCAUUUUUUUUUAAAUUCACCACAAAAUUUUCACGGAAUUGCAUCGAUUCGGCUCGAACGUGUACUCAUAUCAUUAUUGUAAUACGAGACGUCGCUCAAGGUACCACUACCGAUGUUGUUCAUUUUUUAUUAUUUUACGACCCCUGUUAUUCAGGGUAUUCUUGGCACUAAAAGUUCAUUUUAGAUUU